rnacentral:rRNA from 1 species
GGGUUGUGAGGUUAAGCGACUAAGCGUACACGGUGGAUGCCCUGGCAGUCAGAGGCGAUGAAGGACGUGCUAAUCUGCGAAAAGCGUCGGUAAGGUGAUAUGAACCGUUAUAACCGGCGAUGUCCGAAUGGGGAAACCCAGUGCAAUUCGUUGCACUAUCGUUAGCUGAAUACAUAGGUUAACGAGGCGAACCGGGGGAACUGAAACAUCUAAGUACCCCGAGGAAAAGAAAUCAACCGAGAUUCCCCCAGUAGCGGCGAGCGAACGGGGAGCAGCCCAGAGUCUGAAUCAGCUUGUGUGUUAGUGGAACGGUCUGGAAAGUCCGACGGUACAGGGUGAUAGUCCCGUACACCAAAAUGCACAGGCUGUGAACUCGAAGAGUAGGGCGGGACACGUGGUAUCCUGUCUGAAUAUGGGGGGACCAUCCUCCAAGGCUAAAUACUCCUGACUGACCGAUAGUGAACCAGUACCGUGAGGGAAAGGCGAAAAGAACCCCGGCGAGGGGAGUGAAAAAGAACCUGAAACCGUGUACGUACAAGCAGUGGGAGCACCUUCGGGUGUGACUGCGUACCUUUUGUAUAAUGGGUCAGCGACUUAUAUUCUGUAGCAAGGUUAACCGUAUAGGGGAGCCGCAGGGAAACCGAGUCUUAACUGGGCGUUAAGUUGCAGGGUAUAGACCCGAAACCCGGUGAUCUAGCCAUGGGCAGGUUGAAGGUUGGGUAACACUAACUGGAGGACCGAACCGACUAAUGUUGAAAAAUUAGCGGAUGACUUGUGGCUGGGGGUGAAAGGCCAAUCAAACCGGGAGAUAGCUGGUUCUCCCCGAAAGCUAUUUAGGUAGCGCCUCGUGAACUCAUCUUCGGGGGUAGAGCACUGUUUCGGCUAGGGGGUCAUCCCGACUUACCAACCCGAUGCAAACUACGAAUACCGAAGAAUGUUAUCACGGGAGACACACGGCGGGUGCUAACGUCCGUCGUGAAGAGGGAAACAACCCAGACCGCCAGCUAAGGUCCCAAAGUCAUGGUUAAGUGGGAAACGAUGUGGGAAGGCACAGACAGCCAGGAUGUUGGCUUAGAAGCAGCCAUCAUUUAAAGAAAGCGUAAUAGCUCACUGGUCGAGUCGGCCUGCGCGGAAGAUGUAACGGGGCUAAACCAUGCACCGAAGCUGCGGCAGCGACACUAUGUGUUGUUGGGUAGGGGAGCGUUCUGUAAGCCUGCGAAGGUGACCUGUGAGGGUUGCUGGAGGUAUCAGAAGUGCGAAUGCUGACAUAAGUAACGAUAAAGCGGGUGAAAAGCCCGCUCGCCGGAAGACCAAGGGUUCCUGUCCAACGUUAAUCGGGGCAGGGUGAGUCGACCCCUAAGGCGAGGCCGAAAGGCGUAGUCGAUGGGAAACAGGUUAAUAUUCCUGUACUUGGUGUUACUGCGAAGGGGGGACGGAGAAGGCUAUGUUAGCCGGGCGACGGUUGUCCCGGUUUAAGCAUGUAGGCUGAUUAUCCAGGCAAAUCCGGAUAAUCAAGGCUGAGGUGUGAUGACGAGGCACUACGGUGCUGAAGUAACAAAUGCCCUGCUUCCAGGAAAAGCCUCUAAGCAUCAGGUAACAUCAAAUCGUACCCCAAACCGACACAGGUGGUCAGGUAGAGAAUACCAAGGCGCUUGAGAGAACUCGGGUGAAGGAACUAGGCAAAAUGGUGCCGUAACUUCGGGAGAAGGCACGCUGGUGUGUAGGUGAAGUCCCUGCGGAUGGAGCUGAGACCAGUCGAAGAUACCAGCUGGCUGCAACUGUUUAUUAAAAACACAGCACUGUGCAAACACGAAAGUGGACGUAUACGGUGUGACGCCUGCCCGGUGCCGGAAGGUUAAUUGAUGGGGUUAUCCGUAAGGAGAAGCUCUUGAUCGAAGCCCCGGUAAACGGCGGCCGUAACUAUAACGGUCCUAAGGUAGCGAAAUUCCUUGUCGGGUAAGUUCCGACCUGCACGAAUGGCGUAAUGAUGGCCAGGCUGUCUCCACCCGAGACUCAGUGAAAUUGAACUCGCUGUGAAGAUGCAGUGUACCCGCGGCAAGACGGAAAGACCCCGUGAACCUUUACUAUAGCUUGACACUGAACAUUGAGCCUUGAUGUGUAGGAUAGGUGGGAGGCUUUGAAGCGUGGACGCCAGUCUGCGUGGAGCCAACCUUGAAAUACCACCCUUUAAUGUUUGAUGUUCUAACGUGGGCCCCUGACCGGGGUUGCGGACAGUGUCUGGUGGGUAGUUUGACUGGGGCGGUCUCCUCCCAAAGCGUAACGGAGGAGCACGAAGGUUAGCUAAUCCUGGUCGGACAUCAGGAGGUUAGUGCAAUGGCAUAAGCUAGCUUGACUGCGAGCGUGACGGCGCGAGCAGGUGCGAAAGCAGGUCAUAGUGAUCCGGUGGUUCUGAAUGGAAGGGCCAUCGCUCAACGGAUAAAAGGUACUCCGGGGAUAACAGGCUGAUACCGCCCAAGAGUUCAUAUCGACGGCGGUGUUUGGCACCUCGAUGUCGGCUCAUCACAUCCUGGGGCUGAAGUAGGUCCCAAGGGUAUGGCUGUUCGCCAUUUAAAGUGGUACGCGAGCUGGGUUUAGAACGUCGUGAGACAGUUCGGUCCCUAUCUGCCGUGGGCGCUGGAGAAUUGAGGGGGGCUGCUCCUAGUACGAGAGGACCGGAGUGGACGCAUCACUGGUGUUCGGGUUGUCAUGCCAAUGGCACUGCCCGGUAGCUAAAUGCGGAAGAGAUAAGUGCUGAAAGCAUCUAAGCACGAAACUUGCCCCGAGAUGAGUUCUCCCUGAGACUAUAAGUCUCCUGAAGGAACGUUGAAGACGACGACGUUGAUAGGCCGGGUGUGUAAGCGCAGCGAUGCGUUGAGCUAACCGGUACUAAUGAACCGUGAGGCUUAACCUUACAACGCCGAAG